UACGGCCACAUUGCAUUGAAAAACCGAUUCCCAUACGAUCGCCGAAGUUAAGCAGCGUCGAGCCUGGUCAGUACCUAGAUCAGUGACGGCUUAGGAAUUCCAGGUGGUGAA